rnacentral:rRNA from 1 species
UACAGAGGUGCCAAGCGUUGUUCGGAUUUAUUGGGCGUAAAGGGUGCGUAGGCGGUUGUGUAAGUCGGGUGUGAAAUUUCGGAGCCUAACUCCGAAACUGCAUUCGAAACUGCACAGCUCGAGGUCUGGAGAGGUGAUUGGAAUUCUAGGUGUAGCAGUGAAAUGCGUAGAUAUCUGGAGGAACACCGGUGGCGAAGGCGGCAUCCUGGACCAAUUCUGACGCUGAGGAGCGAAAGCUAGGGGAGCAAACGGG